GCGUUGCAAAAGAGAGGGGUUAAAUGCGCAAAUUCCCCAUCUAACGUCAGGACGCGCGGAUCCUCCCCUUCGAGUCGGGUCACCGCGCGGGUCAGGGCCUUAAAAACGACGUCGUUUUUGUAGCGUUACUUAAAACAAAAUCUUCUUUCAAAAUCAUUUACAACCGAAUGAAAAAAAAGAAAAAAAAACAAACACCCCUCUUUUGCUCUGCUAGGGUUUCACCCCUAGCGUCCUCGCGCCGCCGUUUCCCAUGCCAAAACCUCC
rnacentral:lncRNA from 1 species